UUCGCAGAGACAAAGCCCUGGCUUCAGUUUGUUUCCAACCAGCUGGUUGGGGGGCAGCCAUGGAAGAACAGUGUUCUGUUCCACAGGCGCUCGCAGCUGCUCUCCAUAGUCGCUGGCUGUUUCUUUUACCAAUUGGCCAACUGGGUUGUUCGCGCUUUCGUCUCCCGCGACCCUCUCUUUGUCAACACCUCUGUUUCUCUACUCCACUCCACCAUAACCUCCUCUUCAGGUUUGUUUUCUUUUCAAGCUGUUCUUUUUUCUUGGGAAUUUUUUUUGGGGUUUUUUGAGCAUGUUUCAUGGUCUUUUUCUAUGCAUAGAAUUUAGUGAUAGGUUUAACAAAAAUGGAAUCUGAAACCGUCGCCGACGCCAAGUUCCAGAGCAAAAAAAAAAAAGGUUUAUAUGAUUAGUGAAUCAGUGAAAGAAAUUAAGUAAAAAUUAGGGGCGAGUACAAUUCGGUUUGGCCGACUAAAUUGUAGUCACACUUUCGGUUCAGAUUGGUUCCCUUGAACUUGCGUGAUGUUAACAGAGCCAAAUCACACCCUUUUUGGUCCAUUCGUCAGAUUUGUCCAUUUCAUGUUUUGCUCGGAGUGUAGAGGCAGGGGUUUGGCUGGAGAGGUGAGAUUUGCUCAGAUAUGGAGUGAAAGACACUCUAUUUUGAGGAGUGAGAUCAGUUCUUAGAUCUACGAUGACGAUGAAAGAGUUGAGAUAUAGAUGAGAGACAUGAGAGAGGGUGCCAUUUGCACUAAGGUUAGGAGAAAAAUAUGAUUGUAUAUAAGGGGAUACUAAUACUACUGUAAUGUUUUUUUUUAAAAAAUGGGUAGGGACUGGUUCUGUUCUGUUUUCUCAAGUUUGAUUUUGAUUAAUUUUGUAAUUAGUAUUAAUUUGUUGAUGUUUAUCUCUAAGCAUUCGAAUUUGAAUUGGAUCGAUCUACAGCUGAUAGUAAAAAGAGAUGUACAUUGUAUUGUGUGCAUUUAUGUGGUGAUCUUCAAGGAUUUUGAAAUUUAUGCUUUUCUUUUUUUUUGAAAUUUUGUUGUGCAGUCGUUAGCUGAAUCUGAGAAACAACAUUGGCUCCAAAGAGAGGAAAGCGUGGAUAUGGCAAACACACAAGAUAAUUUCUCUCCAAUUGUAUCACACACCUUUGUUUUUGUUGUCAGUUUUGAUAUGCAAAUGCAUCCCCAGCAGUGCACAAAAUAAUCAUAAUUUUACAGGCUACCUUAGAAGAAACAAUCAAACAAUUACAAAAGGAGACGGACUUGCACAUACAGAAAGAGGUAAUAUAAUGUGAAUUUCAACUGUGAGAAUAGUGGAACAAAGAUUAGGGCAUGUUUAUUGUAUUUGGCUGGGUUUCAAAUUUUUUUAUGGCAUUUAAUUUUUUUUGAGGCUACCUUAGAGGAUGCUAUUAAGCAGUUACGAAAUGAAAAUGAUUCACAUAUACAGAAAGAGGUACUAUAUCUUGAUCUGAAUUUAUGAAGUUGUACUUAGAAAGAGCCAAUGACCUUUUUUCUUAUCUGGUAUGCUUUUUCUACCUUUCCUAUUGAUUUUGUAUAUUUCUUCUUCAGGCUAUCAUAGAAGAUUUCAUAAAACAAUGUAAAUUAGGUGGGAGUUUGAUUUGAUUAGCUGAAAACAGAUGUGCUCUUUAGACUUUAGAGUUGUGCAGGAAAGCUACUGGUUGCUAAUUUUGUUUAGUCUUUUUUCUCAAGUUAUAAUAAAUAUCUUAACCAGUUUUUGGGUGUUUACUGAAGUUCAUGAUUGGUAAUUGAUAUUAAGUUCUGCUCAUAUCAGUUUAUGCUUUGUGUGUGUGUGUGUGUGUUGAGGAAAAGUUGGAAGCAUGAAAGCUACAUACAACAUGUGAUUUGCAAAUUAUUCUUAUUCAUUUUCUCAAUUAGUCUCAUGCAAUAAAAGGUAAAGUCAAAUUGUUGUUGAAUCCCUGUUUUGAUUGGUCAUUGCAGAACAGUUUGUGGGUAUGGAAGUACUCUCAUACAGUUCUGCACCAUGCUAUGAUACUUUUAAUUUAAGGUGGAAAUUGAUUGUGAAAAGCUCAAGUUCACAUCAAUUCAGUCUCCUAGGUUUUAGAAAAAAACAGAGUUUUUGGUGCUAAAUUUGAUGUUAGAAAGAAGUUUUUGAGCUGUUACAAUUUAGAUCAGCCUUUCUUGAAGCAACUAAAUCACCAAGGAGGUUUUAGGUCAUUAGACACCGGUGAAAACUUCAAACAUGUUGGUCCAAUUUUAUCAAGUGGAAGCUCUGAUGGCUACGUAAUUAAAGGGGAAAAGAAUGAAAGUAUUUCGGAAACAGGGAACCAGUAACUAAAGUUUUGAUUCCUGGUCUACCAGAUGAAUCCAAAGGUGAAUCAGGUGCGCCAGUAAAUAGUUGCUUUUGGGAAUGGAAGCCCGAAUUCAGUGUGCAUUAUGAGAAAGCUGGAUGUGAAACCUUAGGCUCCCUUCCAGUGCUGUUUCUGCCUGGUUUUGGGGUUGGUUCCUUUCACUAUGAGAAGCAACUGAAGGAGUUGGGGCUUGAUUUUAGAGUACGGGCUAAGCAGCUGAAUGGAUGGUGUGUAUAUCUAUAUUUGGAUGGUAUGUACUUGGAUUCAUUGAAACAAUUGAGAUUGAGUGCUUAUAUCUUAGCAGCUGACUUUGAGCCUUAAAAUUUUCAGAUAUUUAUGAUGACCCAUUCUUGGGCCCAUUGCAAUAAUUGAGAUUUGAGUGCUUAGGUCUAAGCAGCUGAAUUUGAGUCAUUAAUUUUUCAGAUGUGUAUGAUUUUGAUUGUUCCGUCAGGUUUCUUUAUUAGUUAUUUUCCCCUAAUCACAAUUGUUUCACUUCCAGAAACUAAUGGCAUCAUUCGUUCAUUUUGCAAGAUUGGUGUAUACUAUGGUACUCCACAAGCGACAUUUGGAGGAAUUGCAUUAAAAUUCUUUGCCUCAGUUCGGCUUGAAAUAUGUUCUACAGGGAAGAUAAAGUCUGUAAGAACAAUAGCCAUUGUUUCUUAUUGCAUGACAGCUUUUUGAUGGAUGAGUAUAUUUAUCUCUUAGGUCAUCUAAUAAAGUUUGAUCUAUGUUGUUUGCUCAUAGAACGUACUUCUGUACUGAUUAGGUAAAUGGAGAGGAAGUAAUUGGAGUUCGGGUUCAUGUAAGAGUGCAAAAGAGCAAGGUAAUUUUGAAUGCAUCAAAAUGGAUUCUGUAUCUAUGAGGGUUGUACACCAUGUACAGAAAUAACAUUUCUAUUACUUUUGCCUUUAUGAUUACUUGAGCAGUAAUUGCACUUUCAAUAUAAAUUUCAUAACUGGUAUGAAGUAUGACAAGUUGUCUUGCCAAUUCUUAAAGGUUAUGUCUAAUUUCUCAAAGAUUUUUGUCCCAAUUCUACACUUUGCUAUAAGUGCAGCCUGUGACCAUGAAAACAAUUGUAACAAUUGACAAAUUGUUAAAUUCCCCUUUUGAUUUUUCUGAUAUUAUGAAACUGCUUCCAUCCUUUUUGAAGGCUAAUGAUUUUGUUAUGAUAUUUGCUUAUGCUUUUGGAAGAGAGACUUUUGUCGAUUGCAAUCUCCUGAUUCCCAGAUUUUGCCAAACCUUUAGUAAAACUUAAUGAUUGCAGUUAAUUAUAUCUCUUAUUUAAUGUGUUUCAUCCACUUUGUUAUGUUUCUAUUUUGAAAGAUGC
rnacentral:lncRNA from 1 species